rnacentral:snRNA from 1 species
GGCUGUGAGGGCGAUCUGGCCGUGACAUCUGUCACCCCAUUGAUCGCCAGGGUUGAUUCCGCUGAUCUGGCUGGCUAGGCGGGUGUCCCCUUCCUCCCUCACCACUCCAUGUGCGUCCCUCCUGAAGCUGCAUGCUUGGUAGAAGAGGACAACCAGCCCUGAUAGAGGAGGACCGUUUCCUCAGUCAAGGGUGUAUGAGUAGCUGAACUCCCCUGCUAGAACCUCCAAGCAAGCUCUCAAGACUGGUGGAAGAGGCCACCUAGCACAGAAAGGUGCCUAGGUUUACUCAGGAAGGAAGGAAGAAGUGAGAGAGGCAGGGAAUCAAGAGUUAAUUCUUUCCCACUGACUCAUCUUAAAUUGGGCUCUCAGU